rfam:Perkinsus marinus ATCC 50983 gcontig_1104296585932, whole genome shotgun sequence.
GACAGCGUGUCCGAGUGGUUAAGGAAGUAGACUUGAAAUCCUUUAGGCUCUGCCUGCGGAGGUUCGAAUCUUGCCGCUGUCG